GGCCUGAAGCAUCACUAAGUCACUGGUGCCGGCCCCGGCUGUGCUGGCGGCCACAGCGCCCGGGGUUUCCUCUGCAGACGCAGGCCAGGGCAGUGGGAAAUGCACAGUAUCUUCUAUGAUGAAGUCCUUCAUGUCUGCCCAGAAUAUCCACUACCCAGUGCUUGCUCCACCAGGCUCAGGAGAAAACAAACGAACUGCUGUUGCUUUCAAACAACUCGGUGAAUGUCUACAGCCUUCUUGGAGGUAGCAAGACAACCACUCUGGGGAAGGACUCAAAAAGACAUUGGAUCCCAAGUGUCCGGAAGGACAUAACCUCUAGGUGUUGUCUGCAGGAGUCAUGCAUGAGUCAGGGGAAGAUGCCAGUCUGAUGGAGGAAGGGGACGGCACGCAGAUGCUGUCAGAGGCUGGCUCCCUCCAAAGGCUUGUGUGGGACAUUCCCAGCUUCUCUAACAGUUGAGGCAAUGCCGGGAUUUUGACAUGCUUUCGGCUUAACCACUUGGAGAGAUUCUUGACAAGCACCAUCAGUUUCUGGACUUGAAUGGCAGUAGCCAGAUCUAUAGCCAGGAGAGAGUGGACUGGACUCUCACCAAACAGGACUGCCAAGAGGCUGCUCACUAACCUGUCUAGCAAACGUAACCGUAAGUGGGGCGGGGAGCGGGAAACACCUGUGUCCUCUGCCUUCUGGGCUGAGCUGGUUCUGCCCCCUAGAGGGAACCUCAGAUGUUCAAGCCCUUUGGCCGAGAGGUUCUGCCUCCAGAAAUUACCCCAGAUGAUUACACCAACGUGUAAGGGCAUGAGAAGCUCACCACACGUGACCCGAGAGAGCAAAAGCCUGUAACACCUACUAUCCCCAUGGAACCUUCGAGUCCCAGUGUGAAUGCCCGCAUGUGGGAAGGCUAUGGAGCCCUGAACAGCCUUUCCAACCAGGAGCAGCCUCUUGGAGUCCCUGAUAAAAACAAAAGUGUGUUUUUUUUUUUUUCUUUUUUAUUGGGGGGAGGGUGUAGAAAAGAAAGCAGCCCCUAUACUGGGCCCUAUUCAGUGGCAGCUUCUUGUUCCAUAGGGUUAAGGAAGACUUUGAGGAAAUAAAAGUUGUUUGGAAAAAUC